CCUGAUUAGUUUUUUUUUUUUUUUUAAUCUAAUUGCAAAUGUUUAUCAUGCUGGGUGCUGAGCUAGGUCCAGGGGAUACAAUCUUGAAAAAAUUCAUGUUUAGUCCUUGCUCUUAUGGUGCUUACAGUCUAGUAGAAGAUGACUAUAGAAUUAAAAUGAGUGUAAAAUUGCAUCCUAAUGAAUGCUUCUGGGAAGAAAAUGUGCUUUAUUAGAGCUAAGUACAAUGGAAAUCAUAUGUUUUGGAAGGUUCAAGAAGAUUUCCCCUCAAAAGUGGGAUUUGAGUGGAAAGCUGAAGAAUGAGUAAGAGGAGGGAUAGGCGUGCACAGGUCUGAUGGCAGGAAUAACAGGAGGACUUGGAAGAAGGCCUGGAGCAAGGAGCAUGGUACAGGUGUUGCUAGACAGGUGGGUGCAGGCCAGACUAGAUCAGUCCCCAGAGCAUGCUAGGGAGUCUAACCUAAGGACCACCAGAAGUCAUGGAACAAUUUCAGCAAGAUCUGGUGGCAUGAACAGGUCUUUGUGUUUUAUAAAAGGGCCUUUGUUUCACUUCCUUUCAUAUUGUCUAGAACUAUAUGAGCAAUUCAAGCACCAGCAUUCAUUACUGCUCCAACUAUCCUAAUAAUUGUAGAUACACACACACAUGUUACUUUUCUGAAAGAUGUGUAUCUUGUCUGCUCCAGAAUUAAUUACCAAUGUCUUUCCCUCUCAUCUGGAGAACAUUUAGUUUGUCCUUUUGGACACUGACUAUAUUUACCUAGUAACUAAAUUCCAUGCUGGGGUACCUUGAGGAAUGAACAGAGUCUUAUCCUCAAUAUUAAGUGUGCAAGUGAAAUUGCCUUUCUCUGUUGGAAAGGGCGAGGACAACAGCCAUUGCAUCAACAAGAAGGGCCCAAAUUGAAUUAUCUGGCAGCGUCUGCAGGUCUCUCUGAACUAUCUCUAUAACCGAAAUUUCUUAGCACAUCCAAAAAUGGAUUAAGUUGCUUUGACAGGCUCUAUUUUUUAUGAACCUCUUUGGCUAUUACUUACUAUGUUAUUUUUCUCAAGGAGCUCAUGUACUGAUUUAUGAUUUCAUUUAAGGUUUUGACUGGUAGUUUGGAUACGCUAACUAGCCCACCUUUUCUCGGAUCUGACUUUGGCUGCUUUAUUUCCAACACUAAAUCAGGCUGCUUAAAUUUUCCCUGGUACAUAAGUCUCUACGACAAACACUAACUAGUAUUGCAGGUGCGUCCUGCCUUUGCCGGCUCGUCGAAUGUGUUCACAUGAAUCUCACCCAGCUCCGCUGAUUUAUAAAUAUUUAAAUUGUGUAAGUAUUCUUUUACCUGCCUCUUAUUAAUUCUGUUUCUUGAUAUUCCUAGAGACUCAUUAAUAUUUAUCUGACUGAGCUCCUGCUUCCUUCAUUCUUUGUGCUAACGGCUGAGACAAAACAAUGGCUCCCUAGCCUCUCCCCUUCGCAUCUUUCGUCAUGUUCUCACACCCCUGGUUUAGGAAAAGUAGCCUUUGUUUUUUGGGGCACAGCAUCCUUUUGUAUUAUUAGAAGGCUUUGCCAUAAAUUCUUGCUUCCUUUGCUGCUCUAAUUCUGCUUUUUCACCCUCUGUCUCCUGGAAUUAUAUUUUCUUCACAUUGAGUAUUCCUUUCCCUAAACCCUACACAAUUGGAUUUUGCUUGACCUCCCCUCCCAAAGGAAGCAUUCAUGCUUUAAGCUUGUUUGUCAGAAUGCAUGUGGGGUUAUAUAACAGCACCCAGCAGCCACUGGUGUGUUCUUUUUUUAGAGGAUGGACUUGAAUGCCCACACCCAUGUUUUGUCUUUCAGUAGAACAACAUGAGUAGUAAUCAUUCAGUUCCUGAAAGAUGGUUGGAUUCAGUCCAUUAACUUCAGAGCAUGUCCAGAAAAUUGGUCUGAAAGAAACAGCAUGUGAAUAUGAAACCAAGACAAGGGAUUUCCAAUAACAAAGAAAUUAAUAAUAAAAACAUUCCUGGAACAGUCCAGGCAUCUACCUGGACUCUUGGAAAGACAUUGGAAACUUUAAUCUGUUUUCAAAAGAGAACAUACUGCAUGCCACAAAAAAGAAAGAAAAUUAAAGAGUAUGCACUGUAUUGGUACAUUUUAAUGAAGUUCAAGAAUAGGCAAAAUGGAGCUGCGGUGACAGAGGUUAGAAGAUGGUUCCCUCUGGGGUGAUGCUGAUGCUGCCAGUCUGGAGCCCACACUUUUGAGAAUCCUUCCUGCACUGUUUCCAGAGUUUCCCUGUGGGAUUGAGCAGUUUCCCGAGACAUUUGACAAGGUUCCCAGAGCAACGCUAUGGAACACUGGAGCAAUUAACAUGGACCCUGAUGCUUUGAGCAUGUAAGUAGAUAUGCAAACCAGCUGGCUAUUAAAAGACAAAAGAUAUUGAUUAAUACGAAUAAAAUCAAACUCUCCUCCCUUCCCUUCUCUUGCCUUGACAUAUUAGGAUUAAGCAGAUGAACUUGUUCUCUAGCUUUCUUCCAUGUUUUGUUCAUGCCUAUUUAAGAUUUUAUGACAUCUUCAAGAAUGCCCUUCCCUACCCAUGGUUGUUAACUUUAUGUGUUAACUUAGCUAGGCCAAGCUACCUAGUCAUUUGGUCAAAUACUAGUAUAGAUGCU